rnacentral:tRNA from 2 species
GGCAGGGUAGCUCAGCGGUAGAGCGGCGGCUUCAUAAGCCGUGCGUCGUGGGUUCGAAUCCCACCCCUGCCACCA